rnacentral:rRNA from 1 species
CGCGUAGGCGGGUGUUUAAGUCAGAGGUAAAAGCCCGGGGCUCAACCCCGGAACCGCCUUUGAUACUGGACAUCUUGAGUACGGGAGAGGUGUGUGGAACUCCGAGUGUAGAGGUGAAAUUCGUAGAUAUUCGGAAGAACACCAGUGGCGAAGGCGACACACUGGCCCGUUACUGACGCUGAGGCGCGAAAGCGUGGGGAGCAAACA